rnacentral:rRNA from 1 species
GGUUAAGUGACUAAGCGUACACGGUGGAUGCCUUGGCAGUCAGAGGCGAUGAAGGACGUAUUAACUUGCGAUAAGCCCAGAUUAGACAGUAAAAGUCAUUUGAGUCUGGGAUUUCCGAAUGGGGAAACCCACCUGCAUAAGCAGGUAUCAUUAUCUGAAUACAUAGGGUAAUGAGGCGAACCGGGGGAACUGAAACAUCUAAGUACCCCGAGGAAAAGAAAUCAACCGAGAUUCCGAAAGUAGCGGCGAGCGAAAUUGGAUUAGCCCUUAAGCCUUUAAUGCGUCAGGUGAAAGUUCUGGAAAGUUCUGCGAUACAGGGUGAUAGCCCCGUAACCGACAGCGCAUUUUAGGUGAAAUCGAGUAGGGCGGGACACGUGAUAUCCUGUCUGAAUAUGGGGGGACCAUCCUCCAAGGCUAAAUACUACUGACUGACCGAUAGUGAACCAGUACCGUGAGGGAAAGGCGAAAAGAACCCCUGUGAGGGGAGUGAAAUAGAACCUGAAACCGUGUACGUACAAGCAGUAGGAGCACCUUCGUGGUGUGACUGCGUACCUUUUGUAUAAUGGGUCAGCGACUUAUAUUCAGUAGCAAGGUUAACCAUCUAGGGGAGCCGUAGAGAAAUCGAGUCUUAACUGGGCGUCGAGUUGCUGGAUAUAGACCCGAAACCAGGUGAUCUAGCCAUGGGCAGGUUGAAGGUUGAGUAACAUCAACUGGAGGACCGAACCGACUAAUGUUGAAAAAUUAGCGGAUGACUUGUGGCUAGGGGUGAAAGGCCAAUCAAACCUGGAGAUAGCUGGUUCUCCCCGAAAUCUAUUUAGGUAGAGCCUCGGACGAAUACUACUGGGGGUAGAGCACUGUUAAGGCUAGGGGGUCAUCCCGACUUACCAACCCUUUGCAAACUCCGAAUACCAGUAAGUACUAUCCGGGAGACACACGGCGGGUGCUAACGUCCGUCGUGGAGAGGGAAACAACCCAGACCGCCAGCUAAGGUCCCAAAUUACAGCUAAGUGGGAAACGAUGUGGGAAGGCUUAGACAGCUAGGAUGUUGGCUUAGAAGCAGCCAUCAUUUAAAGAAAGCGUAAUAGCUCACUAGUCGAGUCGGCCUGCGCGGAAGAUGUAACGGGGCUAAGCUGUAAACCGAAGCUGCGGCAAUGCAUUUUAUGUAUUGGGUAGGGGAGCGUUCUGUAAGCCGUUGAAGGUGAGUUGUAAAGCUUGCUGGAGGUAUCAGAAGUGCGAAUGCUGACAUGAGUAACGAUAAAGGGGGUGAAAAACCUCCUCGCCGGAAGACCAAGGGUUCCUGUCCAACGUUAAUCGGGGCAGGGUAAGUCGACCCCUAAGGCGAGGCCGAAAGGCGUAGUCGAUGGGAAACGGGUUAAUAUUCCCGUACUUCUUACAAUUGCGAUGGGGGGACGGAGAAGGCUAGGUGGGCCUGGCGACGGUUGUCCAGGUUCAAGUGCGUAGGCUUGAGAGUUAGGUAAAUCCGGCUCUCUCUAAGGCUGAGACACGACGUCGAGCACCUACGGGUGUGAAGUCAUUGAUGCCAUGCUUCCAGGAAAAGCCUCUAAGCUUCAGAUUGUAAGGAAUCGUACCCCAAACCGACACAGGUGGUCGGGUAGAGAAUACCAAGGCGCUUGAGAGAACUCGGGUGAAGGAACUAGGCAAAAUGGUACCGUAACUUCGGGAGAAGGUACGCUCCUGUCGGUGAAGUCCCUUGCGGAUGGAGCUAACGGGAGUCGCAGAUACCAGGUGGCUGCAACUGUUUAUUAAAAACACAGCACUGUGCAAAAUCGUAAGAUGACGUAUACGGUGUGACGCCUGCCCGGUGCCGGAAGGUUAAUUGAUGGGGUUAGACGUAAGUCGAAGCUCUUGAUCGAAGCCCCGGUAAACGGCGGCCGUAACUAUAACGGUCCUAAGGUAGCGAAAUUCCUUGUCGGGUAAGUUCCGACCUGCACGAAUGGCGUAAUGAUGGCCACGCUGUCUCCACCCGAGACUCAGUGAAAUUGAAAUCGCUGUGAAGAUGCAGUGUACCCGCGGCUAGACGGAAAGACCCCGUG